rnacentral:rRNA from 1 species
CUACGGGGGUGGCUGCAGUAGGGAAUCUUCCGCAAUGGGCGAAAGCCUGACGGAGCAAUGCCGCGUGAGUGAUGAAGGUUUUCGGAUCGUAAAGCUCUGUUGCCAGGGAAGAACGCUUGGGAGAGUAACUGCUCUCAAGGUGACGGUACCUGAGAAGAAAGCCCCGGCUAACUACGUGCCAGCAGCCGCGGUAAUACGUAGGGGGCAAGCGUUGUCCGGAAUUAUUGGGCGUAAAGCGCGCGCAGGCGGUCAUUUAAGUCUGGUGUUUAAUCCCGGGGCUCAACCCCGGAUCGCACUGGAAACUGGGUGACUUGAGUGCAGAAGAGGAGAGUGGAAUUCCACGUGUAGCGGUGAAAUGCGUAGAUAUGUGGAGGAACACCAGUGGCGAAGGCGACUCUCUGGGCUGUAACUGACGCUGAGGCGCGAAAGCGUGGGGAGCAAACAGGAUUAGAUACSCCUAGGUAGUCA